rnacentral:lncRNA from 1 species
CAUUCUUUCACUGCGGACCAUGCUAAAGCAGGCAGUGGACCCUUUGAACCUUGGCCCCUAUUUUGCCGACCCUCCCUGAGCCAGACACCAGGGAAGGGGCACAGGGAGCUGGCUACUUAUUGACAGCUUCAAUUCAUGCAGACUUUCAGGGCUGCUUUUUACUAUCAAAAACAGAAUCUACUUCUCAAUAAGAGAGAUGAUAUAAAUGAUGUCACUUUUACUGGUAAUUUCAAAGUUUGGGUUUAGUCGUGUAGAAGAUUAGCACUGGUUUUCUUUGUCAUAUUAAAUGUGGAAAAUUGCUAAGGGCUAUGGAAUAAAAGCUUUGAUUGACACAUUGUCAAAAGACUAGAAUACACAGGAAUUGUUUAGAUUAGGUUGUGUGGUUUUGUUUUGUUUUUCUUUUUUUUUUUUGUCUUUUUAGGGCCCCACUUGCGUGCGGCAUACAGAAAUUCCCAGGCUGGGGGUCAAAUCGGAGCUGCAGCUGCCAGCCUACACCACAGCCACAGCAACUCGGGAUCCGAGCCUCAUCUGCAACCUACACCAUAGCUCACAGCAACGUCAGAUCCUUAACUCACUGAGUGAGGCCAGGGACUGAACUCUCGGAUCCUCAUGGAUCUUAGUUGGUUCAUUAACUGCUGAGCCACGAGCCACGAGCCACGACGGGAGCUCCCUAGAUUUGUUUGAUGUAAAAGCUUCAUUUAAGGGAAAGAACUGCUUUCAAGUUCUUCAGCUUUUGUCAUUUCUGUUUUGGUGCAUUGUGUCCCUGUCGGAUGAUUGGUGCAUCUUAGGGUGGUCAUUCAGAGCUGGAAAGUAGAUUGUCUCUAAUGUUUACCCUUUCUUGGCAUUGCAGUUUCCUAAAAAAUCUGAAAUAAGAGCCAAAUGGUCCUCUCUACAGGUGGAGCCAAAAAAAAAAAAAAAAAGGAAAGGAAAAAAAGAAUUGAGAGACGAGAUGAAAAUUAUAAGAGGUGGUAUGAGGAUUAGCUAGUUCACACAAUUGACUUUUGCUCUGCUGGAAUAAUGACAUAAUUUUGAUGGUUGAACCACACGAGGUAAAACACAUGCCAGUACUUGAGCAAUUUUAUGAUUAUCUCCUUGAGAGGAUGGGGUGAAGUAUGAUUCUCCUCUGUGUAAUAGCAUAAUAAUCUGGCUUGAUUCUUUUUAGAAGUCAUUGAGGUAAGUUGAGUUAGUGUUUAAAUAGUGACCUCGAAGACAUGGACAAUGGCGAAGAGGACUCUGCUCGUCCUGAGACUGUGCUGAGCGCCGUGGCUUCUUAAUCAAAGCAACAGUUAGCUCGGACGACCCCUUUCCCCAAGGUUUUAUUUCAUCUUGCGGUGUACAUGGGAGAGCUUCUGAAGAGGCUGAGUGCCAAGCCAGGUGGUUUAGUUCUGUGGCCCACCUUUUUAAGGAGGGGAAAAGGAGAGUAAAUUUUAGCAAGUUUCCUUUUGCUAAACUUUCUUAUUUAGUAGAGUAGUCCCUACAUUCAUUCAUAGGAGAUUUUUGAUUUUGUUUUGUUUUAAAUAGCUCAAUUGUAAGAAAAACUAUUGUAUACCCAAUAAAGGGCAACUGUAUAGAAAUGCUGGCCAUUUCCAUCCUUGGCAGUACCAGGUCUCUGAAGGUGUAGGAAGUAUGAAAUACUCCGAGUGAGAGAGUUGAUGAUUUCUGAACUGAAUUGUGGAAUUUGUUGUUUUAAGAAACUCUUGGACUAGGGGAAGAAACCAAAACAAAUCCCAAAACAUUUCCAGUUCAACCCUCCUGCAACCUGGGAUCUUCUGUAAGGCUUUCAGGGUGGAUCCCAGGCCGUGUUGAGGGGCUUAGGAAUUCAGCAGACCUCUGGCUGCUCCUAGUCAUUGUGAGAAUACGUUGUUUACUGCCUGAGCUAUGACAGCAUAGGGUAGUGGUCUUCAGAGUGGGCUGCUGCUUCUCCAAGGAAUAUGAUGUGCAGAAUGAUCCAUUGGGAUGCAGGGGAAGCACCGCAAGUCCUGUUUUAAAGUUUUAGUAGUGGCUGGAUAUAUAUGUGAUUGUGCAUGUUUUGGGAUGUAUGCUUCUUGUCUACUUUGGGAGCUAGGCAGUUGUAAGAACACCCCUACAGUGGCUUAUGCGGCCUCUCUAACCCCUGACCUUACUAUUAGUCAUCUGCUCCCCUCUUCCCCCCUCCCCAUUCCAGCCCAUGUGGCCUUUUUGCUGAUCCUGAAAGGCUUCUGAACCGUGACCCACAGCAGCCUUUGCCCUGGUGGUUCCCUCUGCCUGUAAUGCCCUUCUCCAGAGGCUCCCCUUGAUGCUCUUGGCUAAUGCCCUCACCUCCUCAAAGGCUUUGCUCAAGAGUCGUUUCUCAGUGAGGCCUUUCUUGACCACCUUUUUAAUGCAGCAGCAUACUCUGAAGCCUCCUUGUAUUGCUCUGCUUUUCCUUUUUCCUUAGCACUCACUGCCUUUGGAGAAACUGUAUUAUAUCUGUUGGCUCUUGUUUCCCCAGCAGAAGUAAGAUCCUUGAGGCCAGGACUCGCCUUCUCCUUUGUUCACAGAUGCGUUCCUGUUGCUUAUUAGAACUGUGCCCGUUCAGUACAUUCUGCUGAAUGAUUAAAGCCUCUGGCGCGUAGUAGGCUCAGUAGGCUUCUUUUAAUGAAUGAAUAAAUUAUUUAGGGAAAUUGGAAAUAUAAAAAUGAAUAAAAUAUGCUCUAUGCCCUGAAGUAGUUCUAUGUAGCUGUGAAGACCAAACAUAAGAAAAUAAUUUUCAACUUGUGAGACCUGUGUGGUAGAAUCGUGAGGGGGCCGAGGGUGGAAUUGAGCCGAUCGUGACUGACUGUCUGUGGGCGGAGAAGGCAGGCAGACUCAGUGCCUCUGAAAGGGGUGAUGCUAAAUGUAAAAGCUUUAAAUACCCGGGAACCCACGCAAACCUAGAGCUUGUUUAUCCAAUGAGUGUGUAGGAUGGACUUUGAAAUGAGGAUUUUUAACAUCGAGAUUACGGUUUUAUUUUUUAUUUGUUUUUAAAGAAUGAGAUGAAUAAUUGUCUGAUCUUAAGAGAUAGAUCUUGCAGAAAUUUUCAAAUGCAUAUUUUUUUCCUGGGCAAACUAUUCACCAGAAAAGAAAGUGCUUUUCUACACACAUUUACCAACCCUUGGUUCCUUUCUCCCUCUUUCAGCCUGUACUUUCCAUGCCUUGGGCAAAAAGUUUGGGUUAUUUUCACCCACCUGAAAUCCCUAAGUAUUUAUUGGUUAAAAACUCAGAGUAGGUACCUAGCACUGUAAAAGAGUAGUAUCUCUUUAUGAAAAUAUGUAGGGGUGGAAAUUGCUUGCUGGAAAUGCAUUGAUCUC